rnacentral:rRNA from 1 species
GAUGAACGCUGGCGGCGUGCUUAACACAUGCAAGUCGAACGGAAAGGCCCAAGCUUGCUUGGGUACUCGAGUGGCGAACGGGUGAGUAACACGUGGGUGAUCUGCCCUGCACUUCGGGAUAAGCCUGGGAAACUGGGUCUAAUACCGGAUAGGACCACAUUUUGGAUGGUGUGGUGGAAAGUUUUUCGGUGUGGGAUGAGCUCGCGGCCUAUCAGCUUGUUGGUGGGGUAAUGGCCUACCAAGGCGUCGACGGGUAGCCGGCCUGGGAGGGUGUACGGCCACAUUGGGACUGAGAAACGGCCCAGACUCCUACCGGAGGCAGCAGGGGGGAAUAUUGGACAAUGGGCGCAAGCCUGAUGCAGCGAAGCCGGGGGGGGGAUGACGGCCUUCGGGUUGGAAAACCUUUUCCAUAGGGACGAAGGGUUAUGUGACGGUACCUGGAGAAGAAGCACCGGCUAACUACGUG